rnacentral:rRNA from 1 species
AAUAAUAAUAAUAUUGUUGUGCUUGGGCGAGAGUAGUACUAGGAUGGGUGACCUCCUGGGAAGUCCUCGUGUUGCACUCC